UCCUUAUGUUCAAGGAAUGAGAAGAAUUGAAGGAAAACGAUACAGAGAAGAUUAGCAUGAUCCUUGCGCAAGAAUAACACGUACAAAUCGAGAAGUAGUCCAAAUUUUU
rnacentral:snRNA from 1 species